rnacentral:lncRNA from 1 species
AUAAGGACAUAGCGCUCAGAAUAUGUGUUUGACUAUCCAUGUGACAUAGCCAUCGAAGCUGCUAUGAGAAAAUAUUUGAAUCUCAUGACCAUUGUGUAGGGGAAGUAAAUGCAUAAAAGCAGAAUAUCAAUGUUCUUGGAAGGCUUCACAGGCAGCACUUUCUCAGCAUCAAGUGGGGAUUGCUCACUCUUGUCAAAGUGAUGAGACCUCAGAUUUUAGAAACCAGUAGGAUUUUGACAUACAUCAAAGAACAUUUUGAAGAAAAUGGAACUUUGUUGCACCAACAAUAUCAUAGUCAGCAAUUCGGUGUCAGUUAAUGGGAAGUUGUUGUACACACCUCAUUUAGAGAACCUUGAAAUAACCAUGCUCACUCAAGGAGCCAUCAUUACCACAAGUGGCAUUACCCUGGGGAACCAUUUGGAAAGUUUAACAGCAAAUAUUAUAUCAUCAAAUCCAUGAAGGGUCCAGAUAUCUUAGCAUGGGUGAUCCACAAACCUAAUGCAGUUUGAGGACCCCCUCUAGAAGUGACAACCAAUGAGAGUACAUGAAACAUGCAGAGGCAACCAUG